CGGACGGGUGAGUAACACGUGGAUAACCUACCUAUAAGACUGGGAUAACUUCGGGAAACCGGAGCUAAUACCGGAUAAUAUAUUGAACCGCAUGGUUCAAUAGUGAAAGACGGUUUUGCUGUCACUUAUAGAUGGAUCCGCGCCGCAUUAGCUAGUUGGUAAGGUAAUGGCUUACCAAGGCGACGAUGCGUAGCCGACCUGAGGAGGGUGAUCGGCCACACUGGAACUUAGACACGGUCCAG
rnacentral:rRNA from 1 species